CUACGGGGCGCAGCAGUGAGGAAUUUUGCGCAAUGGGGGAAACCCUGACGCGGCAACGCCGCGUGAGUGAAGAAGGCCCUUGGGUCGUAAAGCUCUGUCAAUGGGGAAGAAGUUAUUAUGUGUUAAUAGCACAUUUUAUUGACGGUACCCAUGAAGGAAGCACCGGCUAACUCCGUGCCAGCAGCCGCGGUAAUACGGGGGGUGCAAGCGUUAUUCGGAAUUAUUGGGCGUAAAGGGCACGCAGGCGGUCCUGUCAGUCAGAUGUGAAAGCCCGGGGCUCAACCCCGGACGUGCAUUUGAAACAGCAGGACUUGAGUACGGGAGAGGAAAGGGGAAUUCCUGGUGUAGAGGUGAAAUUCGUAGAUAUCAGGAGGAACACCGGUGGCGAAGGCGCCUUUCUGGACCGAUACUGACGCUGAGGUGCGAAGGCGUGGGUAGCGAACGGGAUUAGAUACCCCUGUAGUC
rnacentral:rRNA from 1 species